CGGCCGCGUCGACGUUUGAUCCUGGCUCAGGAUGAACGCUGGCGGCGUGCCUAAUACAUGCAAGUCGAGCGAACAGACGAGGAGCUUGCUCCUUUGACGUUAGCGGCGGACGGGUGAGUAACACGUGGGUAACCUACCUAUAAGACUGGGAUAACUUCGGGAAACCGGAGCUAAUACCGGAUAAUAUUUCGAACUGCAUGGUUCUAUAGUGAAAGAUGGCUCUGCUAUCACUUAUAGAUGGACCUGCGCCGUAUUAGCUAGUUGGUAAGGUAACGGCUUACCAAGGCGACGAUCGGUAGCUGGUCUGAGAGGACGAUCAGCCACACUGGGACUGAGACACGGCC
rnacentral:rRNA from 1 species